UACGUAGGUCCCGAGCGUUGUCCGGAAUUACUGGGUGUAAAGGGUGCGCAGGCGGUCUUGUGCGUCAGAGGUGAAAUAUCACGGCUCAACCGUGAGGGUGCCUUUGAUACGGCAAGACUUGAGUACGAGAGAGGGUGAUGGAAUUCCUGGUGUAGCGGUGAAAUGCGUAGAUAUCAGGAGGAACACCGGUGGCGAAAGGCGGUCACCUGGCUCGUUACUGACGCUCAGGCACGAAAGUGUGGGUAGCAAACAGG
rnacentral:rRNA from 1 species